UAAAUAAUGCUGCUAUGAAAUAUCAUUUUAUAUGAAUGUAUUCCUUUGAUUGUUUUUGUAUUCUUUAGGUAAAUACCUAGUAGUGCAAUUGCUGUGUUGUAGGGUAGUUCUAUCUUUAACUUUUUGAGGAACCUUCAUACUGUUGUUUCUUAUGUUGUUGCUUUUAGCCAUUCUGACAGCUACAAGGUGAUAUCUCAUUAUUUACAUUUCCCUGAUGAUAAUUGAUGAUGGACACCUUUUUGUGUGUCUGUUGGCCAUGUGUAUGACUUAAUUAGAAAAACUGUUCAUGUCUUUGCCUAUUUUUAAUUGGAUUAUUUGGUGUUGAGUAGUAUAAGUGCUUUAUAGAUUUUGGAUACUAACCCUUUAUCAGAUACAUCAUUUGUAAAUGUCUUCUUCCAUCCCGUGGGUUGCCUUUUAGUUCUGUUGAUUGUUUUCUUUGCUGUGCAGAUGUUUUUUUAUUUUGAUGUAGUCCCAGUAGUUUAUUUUUGCUUUGUUUCCCUCGCUUCAGAAGACUGGAAAAACCCGCUUUGGCCACUGUCAAGUUACUGCCUGCGCCCUCUUCUAGUAUUUUUAUGGUUUGUGGUCUCCCAUUUAGGUCUUUAGUCCAUUUUGAAUUUACUUUUGUGUGUGGUCUAAGAAACUGAUUCAGUUUCUUGCUUUUGCAUGUUGCUGUCCAAUUUACACAACACCAUUUGUUGAGGAGACUCUUUUUCCCAUUGGAUAGUCUUUCCUGCUAUGUCAAAGAUUAAUUGACCGUAUAGUUGUGGGUUCGUUUCUGGGUUUUCUUUUCUCUUGAACUAUGUGCCUGUUUUUU